CUGCGAGCGCGGAGGAGGGAGGCAGGGGGAGGGGGUGAGUCACGGCCGCGCCCCCUCCGGCGCGAGGCUGGAUAGGGAUUGCCGGAGCCUCCGACGGCCCGCCCCGCGCGCCCCACGCCCCACUGCCCCGCGGCUUGGCCCAGCUGAGCCGGGAUGGGUCUCACACUAAUUUGUCUUCAGGAGCUGGACUAGGGGGAGGUCAGGAUUCCAAACGCCCCAAAUGCCUCCAAAGGAGUAAGCCCGGGAGGGGCUCCCGCACCUGUCGCCGUCCCCUCUGCUGCCCCCCACGGCCGCCUGGGAGAACAGCUGCCUCCCCUUCCACGCUGGAGUCUGACCGCGCCGUCGGGGCGGCUGGAGUUCCCGCCGCUCUUCUGCGGACCCGGAUGGGCACACCAUCCCCACCGCAGGGGCUGACACCUUCCCAGGCGCCUUCCGAGCGCCGACUCGCGCUGGAAAGGAGGAGGAGGGGGCACUAGAGACUGCGUCCACGAAUGACAUCGACCCCUGGCACCUCAGCACCAGCUCCUGGAUGCUGGCGGGAGGCGGUCGGCGCACCGCGAGCGGCUGCCCUAAACCCUGCGGGCCUCCGAACGGGUCCGACGGGCGCCCCCUGGUGCCCAGCGGGCAGCAGUGAGGCCCCCCGCGGCGUUGCAUUUCUAAUCUCUUAAAUUGGCAUUCUGGAUCUCGCCCAGAGAGCGUAAUUAUUUUCCCCAAGAGUGUAAAGCCUGAAAACUUCAAUAACAACUAGUUACGCCUGGACGAAGAAAAAUGUCGCCUCUCACUCUGAACCAAGACUACGGGCUAAAAUCCUUGAAACUUGCUCCGCAUUGAUAUGCACCCUAGGGGGCCCGUUCUCUGCUGGAGGCUACCUUCGCCCUUGGGGCGUUGGCCUUGCCUUGACGACUUGCAUAAUAGUUAUAAUAGUAAUAGCAACCGGGAAACAUUAGCAUAUACGUACAUAAACCACUUUAUUUGCAAACGUUUCCUCAAACUUAGAGAAUGUUUCCUUUACAAAACCUAUGUGAGCUAGGCGACAUCGCUCUUCAUUUUACAGAACUGGAAGUGGGUAGCUUCUCCAAGGUCAUCCUCUUGAUGACGGUGGAUGAGGUGAUCAGUGGGAUGCCUACCACAGCAUGGCUUGCCAAGCGGUGCCAUGUCCAUACCCGGGAUCGGGGCCGCCAGAAGCGAACGUGCGCACUUAACCGCUGCUCCACCAGGCCGGCCCGGGGCGCAGGUUUUUACGUGGGAUUUCUUGUGUCCCACUGAGACUGGAGUUUCAUCUGCUCAGAAUCAAAUUCCCAUCAGGUGACUGAGCUAAUACCGCUUCAGGGGCCUUUCAUUUUAUCACUCAUCCACUUCAUAGUAGUGUUCAAGGCCCUGGUUCUGAAGGAGGAAACCGUCCUUACUUUCCUUGUUUGUGGAACAAUUGUAUUUACUUUUAAGUUUGUUGUUUGGAUUUAAUGAGAAAGGGUGGGUAGAGCUCUUCCUUACCUCGUUGUUCUUGACCUUUAAGAAGCAUUCCCUGAAUUCUAGCAGUAUUUCUUCCUGUUAUCACCAACCCCACCCCACCCCUCCCCAGCUGGAUCCCAGGGUGUGCUUGCUGGUAUUCAUUCUUCAAUACAUCAAGCUGAGCAUCAGGGCUAUAAACACUGGAUAAAGCUGACGAGUAAAGGGCCAUCUCUGUUGGGUGCUGCCCUGAUUGAAUAAAUGAAGGGAGAUAGGCUUUAUUUACGAAAGCUCUCUGCAGUUAUCUGCCAUCCCUUUAUCUUUCCUUUCUCUUAGCUGAUAAUUUGGGUUCUUAUUUUACUGUGAAAAUAAAAGUAAUCAAAAGAAAGCACCCUUAUCUUUCUGCCACCAAUUUGGCCAAUUUACCUCGAUCCUCACUUCUAUGCUCUGACUUCCAUCCUGUUACAGUGAAUUGCCCUUGCUGCUCUUUAAGGCAACUGUCACUCCCCCAUCCCUUACCCUACCCCAGCCUCAGUUCUGCACCUCAGUCCAUUCCCUGAUGCCCUUCUCCUGCAUCAUCCCCUUUCUCUUCUAUUAUCGAUUUUCCUCUCUACUAGAGCAUCCCCGUUAGCAUACAAACUUCCUCUCUACUAGAGCAUCCCCGUUAGCAUACAAACGUGCUGUGAUAUCUGCCAUCUUAAAGAAAGAAAACAAAACAAAUUAACUUUCUUUGACUCCAUGUCGUCUAUUCCUCUGCCCCUAACUGCUGCAAGAUAUUCUGUUAGGUGGAGCUCUGUGCUUUAUUUGUUCUCCGUCCAGUGAUGGCCUCCAGCUUCCUGCCAGCAUGAGCUGUCCUGCACUGAAAAUCCUCCUACAUGUCUCCUUUGCUUCUGGGAUCAUUUCUUGUGCAUAUUGAGCUCCACGCUCUCUGGACUGUCACACCAUCGAUGGUGGGAUUUCUAUAUCCCAACUUCCUUGCCAAUACUUGACAUUAUUCCGGUUUCCAAUUUUUCAAUUUGCCGUGAAUUCAAAAUGAUACCUCAUUACAUUUGUUUAAUUAUGAAUGUUUGAGCAUCUUCUCAGAUUUAUUCUGUUGGUUUUUCUCUUUUAUGAAUUGCCUAUUCAUUUCCUUUGCCAAUUUUUCCAUGGGGAUUCCCGUAUUUUUAUAUUGAUUUGCAGCAGCUUAUUGUAUAUCUCAGAUAUUACUCCAUUGAUUUUAGACAUUGCAAAGAUCUCUUCCCAAUUUUCAUCGUUAACUCUGUAAGUGAUAUUAUUUAUUGAACCGAAAGCCUUAAUUUUGGUAUAAUCUAAUUAAUCAUUUUACAUAUGGUUUGUGAUCGUGACAUUUUUAAAGACUUUCUUCCCCACGCUUGCAGUGCCUUUAAUGAGGUGUAAUUGAGAUAUAAUUGAUAUACAACAAACUGCACAUAUUUAAAGUCUACAGUUUGAUGAGUUUUGACAUAUAUAUUUAACCAUAACCACAAUCAAGAUAAUGAACAUAUCCAUCACCCAGGAAAGCUUCCUCAUGCCACUUGGUGAUUCCUCCUUCCUCAUCCUCGUAAUCUCCCCCUGCCCCACCCUAGCAUGUGUAUAUCCAGUUAUCCAGCACCAUCUGUUAAUAGUAGUAGAUUUUUAAUGCAAAAAAAAUACUAGUAGUACAUAGUAAAAAUGGGCAUUUGUUUUUAGUUAUUUUGGGGGGGAGAACAUUUCAAGGGAGGUAUUUUACAUACAGAAUCCUUUGAACUGGACCUUGUCAAAUAAAUAUUUAGAAGAGGUAAAAGGUAUAUGUCAAGUAAGUUUCAUAUAACAUAAAACCCCUGCAAAAGGGAUUAAUGCAAAAAGCAAACAAAAAAACACAUAUGCAAUUAGAACUAAUAAGAACAUUAAAAAAGAUUUCUGAGUACAACAAUAUUA